GGCGAGAGGUAACGAAGGUGCAGUCGACGAACAAUAGAUGAUGACAACCGGAGGUCGUGGUGGUUAUGGUGAUGAGUUGCAGGUCGUCGGUGAUACAGUGGUCAGAGGUGGUUGAUUAUCGGAGAAGAAGGAGAUGAAGAUUGAAGAUGGUGUCUGACUAAGUUGUGAUGAGAAAACAUUAGCAGCAGCAACAGCAGCUGAUGAGAAUCAUCAUGGAUUUUGUGCCAUUUGUUUGAAUAAGAUUGCGUUACAGGAAACUUCUUUUGUCAAAGGUUGCGAGCAUGCUUACUGGUUGGUUUGUCUCCAUUCUUUAUCAAUCUUAACUGAUUUAAUUUACUCUUGUUGAUGUUACUUUUAUGACAAACAUUUCUAUUUCAUGA
rnacentral:lncRNA from 1 species